AUGAACGCUAGCGGCAGGCUUAAUACAUGCAAGUUGAGGGGCAGCAUGAUAUACGCGAGUAUAUUGAUGGCGACCGGCGGACGGGUGAGUAAUAGGUAGGAGACCUACCUCAUACAGGGGGAUAGCAUAGAGAAAUCUGUGGUAAUAUCCCAUGAGGUUAUAUGAAUAGAGGCAUAUAAUCAAAGCAUAAGCGAUUAUGCGGUAUGAGAGGGGCCUACUGACCAUUAGCUAGUUGGUGAGGUAAGGGCUCACCAAGGCGAAGAUGGUUAGGGGUUUUGAGAGAGAGACCCCCCACAUUGGAACUGAGAGACGGUCCAGACUCCUACGGGAGGCAGCAGUAGGGAAUAUUGGGCAAUGGGCGAAAGCCUGACCCAGCCAUGCCGCGUGAAGGAAGACGGCCUUAUGGGUUGUAAACUUCUUUACUACGCGAAUAGAGGUUAGUACGAGAUACUAAUAGGAAGGUAGUGUAGUAAAAAGCACCGGCUAACUCCGUG
rnacentral:rRNA from 1 species